UACCUGGUUGAUUCUGCCAGUAGUCAUAUGCUUGUCUCAAAGAUUAAGCCAUGCAUGUCUAAGUAUAAGCAAUUAUACCGCGAAACUGCGAAUGGCUCAUUAUAUAAGUUAUCGUUUAUUUGAUAGCACAUUACUACAUGGAUAACUGUGGUAAUUCUAGAGCUAAUACAUGCUAAAAAUCCCGACUUCGGAAGGGAUGUAUUUAUUAGAUUAAAAGCCAACGCCCUUCGGGGCUUCCUGGUGAUUCAUAAUAACUUUUCGAAUCGCAUGGCCUUGCGCCGGCGAUGGUUCAUUCAAAUUUCUUCCCUA
rnacentral:rRNA from 1 species